rnacentral:rRNA from 1 species
CACUUCUAAGGAAGGCAGCAGGCGCGCAAAUUACCCAAUCCUGACUCAGGGAGGUAGUGACAGGAAAUAACAAUAAACCGGCUUAUGCCGGUUUAAUUGGAAUGAGUACAAUUUAAACAUCUUAACGAGGAACAAUUGGAGGGCAAGUCUGGUGCCAGCAGCCGCGGUAAUUCCAGCUCCAAUAGCGUAUACUAAAGUUGUUGCAGUUAAAAAGCUCGUAGUUGGAUUUCUGUGGGGACGGAGCGGCCGGCCGCAACACGCGGUUCGAGCUAGCGCUUUCCCUACAUCCUGCCGCGAACCGUGCUACCAUUGAUUUGGUGGCGCCGGGGAUCGGCUCGAUUACUUUGAGAAAAAUAGAGUGUUCAAAGCAGGCCACAUGCCUUGAAUAAGUUAGCAUGGAAUAAUAACUAAGGACUUCGGUUCUAUUUUGUUGGUGUUCGGGACUGAAGUAAUGAUUGAUAGGGACAGUUGGGGCGGUCUGUAUUCCAAAGCGAGAGGUGAAAUUCUUAGACCUUCGGAAGACAAACAGCUGCGAAAGCGUUCCGCAAGGAUGUUCCCUUUGAUCAAGAACGAAAGUUGGGGGAUCGAAGACGAUCAGAUACCGUCGUAGUCUCAACUAUAAACUAUACCAGCUAGGGAUCGGCCAACGUUAUUUCAUACCGACUUGGUCGGCACCUUAUGAGAAAUCAAAGCAUCUGGGUUCCGGGGGGAGUAUGGUCGCAAGGCUGAAACUUAAAGGAAUUGACGGAAGGGCACCACCAGCCGUGGAGCCUGUGGCUUAAUUUGACUCAACACGGGAAAACUUACCAGGUCCAGACAUAGUAAGGAUUGACAGAUUGAUAGCUCUUUCUUGAUUCUGUGGGUGGUGGUGCAUGGCCGUUCUUAGUUGGUGGAGUGAUUUGUCUGGCUAAUUCCGUUAACGAACGAGACCCCAGCCUGCUAAAUAGCGCGCGUGAGCUUUGCUCGCGGCGAGCUUCUUAGAGGGACUAUGAUGCGCGAUAGCACAUGGAAGUUUGGGGCAAUAACAGGUCUGUGAUGCCCUUAGAUGUUCUGGGCCGCACACGGGCUACACUGGCGCCUGCAACGAGCAUAUCAGCUGGCCCGAGAGGGUCUUGGCUAAUCUUUUGAACCGGCGCCGUGCUUGGGAUUGACCUUUGCAAUUGUUGGUCAUGCAACGAGGAAUGCCUUGUAAACGCGAGUCAUCAGCUCGCAUUGAAUACGUCCCUGCCCUUUGUACACACCGCCCGUCGCUCCUACCGAUGAAUGUUCCGAUGAAAUUUUCGGAGAGCACCUGUGAACUUGGCUCUGCCUUGCGAACGGGAGGCUCAAAGUCACUUAAAUCUGAACAUUUCGAGG